rnacentral:tRNA from 1 species
GGUUGUAGCUCAGUGGAAGAGCACUUGCCUAGCAUGUGUGAGGCACUGGGUUCGAUUCUCAGCACCA